rnacentral:lncRNA from 13 species
GAAUCCAAUCGAGAAUCUGUGGAAAGAACUGAAAACUGCUGUUCACAAAUGCUCUCCAUCCAACCUCACUGAGCUCGAGCUGUUUUGCAAGGAGGAAUGGGAAAAAAUGUCAGUCUCUCGAUGUGCAAAACUGAGAGAGACAUACCCCAAGCGACUUACAGCUGUAAUCGCAGCAAAAGGUGGCGCUACAAAGUAUUAACUUAAGGGGGCUGAAUAAUUUUGCACGCCCAAUUUUUCAGUUUUUGAUUUGUUAAAAAAGUUUGAAAUAUCCAAUAAAUGUCGUUCCACUUCAUGAUUGUGUCCCACUUGUUGUUGAUUCUUCACAAAAAAAUACAGUUUUAUAUCUUUAUGUUUGAAGCCUGAAAUGUGGCAAAAGGUCGCAAAGUUCAAGGGGGCCGAAUACUUUCGCAAGGCACUGUAGAUGCUACCCACAACCCCCUUUAACACACAGGGCCAGGUCAGUGAUGUAGAUGCUACCCAGAGCCCCUUUAACACGCAGGGCCAGGUCAGUGAUGUAGAUGCUACCCAGAGCCCCCUUUAACACACAGGGCCAGGUCAGUGAUGUAGAUGCUACCCAGAGACCCCUUUAACACACAGGGCCAGGUCAGUGAUGUAGAUGCUACCCAGAACCCCCUGUAAUACACAGGGCCAGGUCAGUGAUGUAGAUGCUACCCAGAACCCCCCUUAACACACAGGGCCAGGCACGAAAUGGAAAGGGUGAAAUUGGCGUGAACACCAUGGAGGGACAGCUGAAAGAGGAUUUCACCACAAAGGGAAACUCCUAUUUCAUGGGGAGACAUUGGCCAAUCAGGGGCUGUUGUCAGAAAACACAAGAAAAAGAAAAGAAAAAAAACAAUAACAAGAAUUUAGUGUUCCUCAAAAUGAAAAGUUGCUUUGUUACAGUUAAUGUGGAGGGAAAUUGAACUUUAACUUGUAGAUGCUGUGUUGGUUUUAGGCGUUUCCUUGCAUAUUUACAUUGCAGAUUAUUAUUAUUUUUCUUCAUGUGUAUAAUUUACAUGGCGGUAUGCAGAGCCACAUACAGUAGUCCUCAACAAUAACCAGUAACAUUGAGUUCAGACAAGAAGUCCUGUUCGCCACGUUAUGAGACCAGUGGCUAAUUGAAACAGCAGCAGUCCCUGUGCUGCCUAUAACUGUCUAUCAGUCCAGUCCAGUUUAUGAUCCAGACUGCUGCUGGGUCUGAGGUUCCGAGACACGCACCCUCUCCCCUGAAUGUGUGUACACAGCCACUCUCUCCCAGCCGAGUGGUCUCCCAGGCACACUAAACUACAACUUCAGCUGGUGCGGUUGGUUCACCUCUCUUCCUGUGGACCCGGUCUUGCUCACCAACAGUUAUAGACACUCAACCGACACAGUAUACAUAUGCAUCGCGGUUUAAUACAUUGUGCUUCAACAUAAAAUGUGUGUAUGAUCCAAAACGUCAUGUCUGGCAGGCCCGCACCCUUUUACAGCUACUACAACUGACGUUUCCUCAAAGUACGUACGGUCGUUGUGGAGGAGGUGUUUUUUUUAUGUCUUGAUUUUUUU